rnacentral:rRNA from 1 species
GCCCAACAGCUAGCCCACCUAAACAAUUACAACAUCCCCUUGUUAAUAACCCCUAAAUACCCCAGUAUUUAAACUAACCAAACCAUUUUUCCCCCUUAGUAUAGGCGAUAGAAAAGGGACCACGGCGCAAUAGAGAAAGUACCGCAAGGGAAUGCUGAAAGAGAAGUGAAACAACCCAGUAAAGCCCCAAAAAGCAGAGCUUUAACCUCGUACCUUUUGCAUCAUGAUUUAGCGAGUGUACCCCAAGCAAAGAGCACUUUAGUUUGGCGUCCCGAAACUACGUGAGCUACUCCAAGACAGCCUAUUAAUAGGGCACACCCGUCUCUGUUGCAAAAGAGUGGGGAGAGCUUUGAGUAGAGGUGACAAACCUACCGAACCUAGUUAUAGCUGGUUGUCCAAGAAAUGAAUAGAAGUUCAGCCUCUUGGCUUCUCUUUUCACCCUAGUUUAACCCCUAUUGAUGCCCUGAAGAAACCGAGAGAGUUAGUCAAAGGGGGUACAGCCCCUUUGAAUCAAGACACAACUUUAGCAGGAGGGUAAAGAUCAUAAUAAUUAAAGCUAAAUAUUUUGGUGGGCCUAAAAGCAGCCAUCCCCUUAGAAAGCGUUAAAGCUCAGAUAUAUUACUAGACCCUUCUUAUCCUGAUCACCAAAUCUUACCCCCCUAAUCGUACUGGACCGUCCCAUGCCCCCAUGGGAGUGACUAUGCUAAUAUGAGUAAUAAGAGAGCCUCAGCCUCUCUCCCUGCACACGUGUACAUCGGAACGGACACCCCACCGACACUUAACGGCCCCAAACAAAGAGGGCACUGGAUAAUAGACCAAACAACUAGAAAAAUAUCCAAAGGCAAACCGUUGACCCCACACAGGUGUGCCCCCAGGGAAAGACUAAAAGAAAGAGAAGGAACUCGGCAAACACACUAAGCCUCGCCUGUUUAUCAAAAACAUCGCCUCUUGCAAACUCAAAAAUAAGAGGUCCCGCCUGCCCUGUGACUAUUUGUUUAACGGCCGCGGUAUUUUGACCGUGCGAAGGUAGCGCAAUCACUUGUCUUUUAAAUGAAGACCCGUAUGAAUGGCAUAACGAGGGCUUAACUGUCUCCUCUUUCAAGUCAAUGAAAUUGAUCUCCCCGUGCAGAAGCGGGGAUACACACAUAAGACGAGAAGACCCUAUGGAGCUUUAGACACUAAGGCAGCCCACGUUAAAGACCCUGGAUAAAGGACUAAACCAAGUGAGCCCUGCCCUAAUGUCUUUGGUUGGGGCGACCGCGGGGAAUUAAAGAACCCCCACGUGGAAUGGGAACACUCUUCCUACAACUAAGAGCUACAGCUCUAGUAAACAGAACUUCUGACCAGCAAGAUCCGGCAAUGCCGAUCAACGGACCGAGUUACCCUAGGGAUAACAGCGCAAUCCUCUUUUAGAGCCCAUAUCGACAAGGGGGUUUACGACCUCGAUGUUGGAUCAGGACAUCCUAAUGGUGCAGCCGCUAUUAAGGGUUCGUUUGUUCAACGAUUAAAGUCCUACGUGAUCUGAGUUCAGACCGGAGUAAUCCAGGUCAGUUUCUAUCUAUGCUGCGCUCUUUUCUAGUACGAAAGGACCGAAAAGAAGAGGCCCAUGCCAAAGGCACGCCUCCCCCCCACCUAAUGAAGUCAACUAAAAUAGGCGAAAGGGCGUAUCCUCCUGCCCCUAAGAAAAAGGCAU